rnacentral:tRNA from 1 species
GGGCUCGUAGCUCAGUUUGGAUAGAGCGCCUGCCUUCUAAGCCGGAAGUCGUGGGAUCGAAGCCCACCGGGCCCGCCA